rnacentral:rRNA from 1 species
GACAGAGGCCCCAAGCGUUAGUCGGAAUCACUGGGCUUAAAGGGUGCGUAGGCGGACGUGUCAGUGCUUUGUGAAAGCCCCGGGCUCAACCCGGGAACCGCAGGGCAUACUGCACGUCUCAGAGGAAGCUAGAGGCCGGCAGAACGAUCGGUGGAGCGGUGGAAUGCGUAGAGAUCGAUCGGAAUGCCAAGGGUGAAGACAGCCGGCUGGGGCUUUCCUGACGCUGAGGCACGAAAGCGUGGGGAUCAAACAGG